GUCCACGGCCAUGCCACCCUAAGCAAGCCCGAUCCCAUGUGAUCUCGAAGCUAAGCAGGGUCGGGCCUGGUUAGUACUUGGAUGGGAGACCAUGUAGGAAGACCAGGUGCUAUAGGCA
rnacentral:rRNA from 1 species